UACGGAGGGGGCGAGCGUUAUUCGGAAUUAUUGGGCGUAAAGGGCGCGUAGGCGGCUUGGUAAGUCAAAGGUGAAAUCCCUCGGCUCAACUGAGGAACUGCCUUUGAAACUGCCUGGCUUGAGGCCGGGAGGGGGUAGCGGAAUUCCCAAUGUAGCGGUGAAAUGCGUAGAUAUUGGGAGGAACACCGGUGGCGAAGGCGGCUACCUGGACCGGUUCUGACGCUGAUGCGCGAAAGCGUGGGGAGCGAACAG
rnacentral:rRNA from 1 species